CCGGUUGAUCCUGCCGGACCCGACCGCUAUCGGGGUGGGGCUUAGCCAUGCGAGUCGAACGCCCCGGGGACCCGCCGGGGCGUGGCGCACGGCUCAGUAACACGUGGCUAACCUACCCUCGGGAGGGGGACAACCCCGGGAAACUGGGGCUAAUCCCCCAUAGGGGAAGGGCGCUGGAAGGCCCCUUCCCCGAAAGGGGCCACGCCCGGCACCCGGCGCGGCCCGCCCGAGGAUGGGGCUGCGGCCCAUCAGGCAGUUGGCGGGGUAACGGCCCGCCAAACCGAAGACGGGUGGGGGCCGUGAGAGCGGGAGCCCCGAGAUGGGCACUGAGACAAGGGCCCAGGCCCUAUGGGGUGCAGCAGGCUCGAAUACUCCGCAAUGCGGUAACCCGCGACGGGGCCACCCCGAGUGCCGCCCGAUGAGGGCGGCUUUUCCCCCGUGCAGGGAGCGGGGGGAAUAAGCGGGGGGCAAGUCUGGUGUCAGCCGCCGCGGUAAUACCAGCCCCGCGAGUCUAGGCAAGGCUCCUUAAAGGGGGCCUGCCUAGCGCGCCUGGUCGGGGUGUUUACUGGGCCUAAAGCGCCCGUAGCCGGCCCGGUAAGUCGCCCCUGAAAUCCACGGGCUCAACCCGUGGGCCGGGGGCGAUACUGCCGGGCUUGGGGGCGGGAGAGGCCGAGGGUACUCCCGGGGUAGGGGCGAAAUCCGAUAAUCCCGGGAGGACCACCAGUGGCGGAAGCGCUCGGCUGGAACGCGCCCGACGGUGAGGGGCGAAAGCUGGGGGAGCAAACCGGGCCCAGGUUGGCGAUGUUCCGCAACCAUGGUUAGAUAUGCGAAGGAAGUAGGAUUUUUUAGAUUAUGUGAAAGUCUUCUUUGACCUUUCCCUCUAAUUCAUGCCAACCUGGCCCGGGCUCAGAGGGGAUUAGAUACCCCUGUAGUCCCAGCUGUAAACGAUGCGGGCUAGCUGUUGGGCGGGCUUAGAGCCCGCCCAGUGGCGUAGGGAAGCCGUUAAGCCCGCCGCCUGGGGAGUACGGCCGCAAACCUGGCCCAGGGCUUAAAGCCCAGGCCGGGGCGGAGGGCUGAAAGGCGGCGGGCCGUGCCGGCUCUUUAUGAGUUCCGACAUAUGGUAGCUACUCGGGGUAAUAGUCGGCGACGGUUACGUGGGAAAGUACUUUAUUGAAAUUAGCGAUAUGCACAGGAGAAUUUAGAAGUAGUGGCUGGGGUCAUAAGGACGCCCAAAACAUCGGGUUUAGAUACCCCACAAAAUAUAAGAAACUCAAAAUCCCUCCUUUUCUAAUCUUUAUCCCAAUCCCGGCACGGCCGCCGCCCAGCAUACUUAAAGGAAUUGGCGGGGGGGCACCACAAGGGGUGUGUGCUUGCGGCUUAAUUGGAGUCAACGCCGGAAACCUCACCCGGGGCGACAGCAGGAUGAAGGCCAGGCUAACGACCUUGCCGGACGAGCUGAGAGGAGGUGCAUGGCCGUCGUCAGCUCGUGCCGUGAGGUGUCCGGUUAACCUGGGGGUUAUCCCCUGGGGCCGAUAGUCCGGCAACGAGCGAGACCCCCGCCCCUAGUUGCUACCCGGUCCUUCGGGACCGGGGGCACUCUAGGGGGACUGCCGGCGUAAGCCGGAGGAAGGUGGGGGCGACGGCAGGUCAGUAUAGGGGCUCCUCCUUAAGGGGAGGGCCCCGCUGAGGCCCCGAAACCCCGGGGCUGCACGCGAGCUGCAAUGGCGGGGACAGCGGGUUCCGACCCCGAAAGGGGGAGGUAAUCCCGUAAACCCCGCCCCAGUAGGAAUCGAGGGCUGCAACUCGCCCUCGUGAACGCGGAAUCCCUAGUAACCGCGUGUCACCAACGCGCGGUGAAUACGUCCCUGCCCCUU
rnacentral:rRNA from 1 species